rnacentral:rRNA from 1 species
GACAGAGGUGCCGAGCGUUAGGCGGAAUCACUGGGCUUAAAGCGUGUGUAGGCGGACCGUUAAGUACCUUGUGAAAUCCCCCGGCUCAACCGGGGAACGGCUGGGUAUACUGGCGGUCUUGAACCAUCCAGGGGCAGUCGGAACAGACGGUGGAGCGGUGAAAUGCGUAGAUAUCGUCUGGAACGCCGAAGGUGAAAACAGACUGCUGGGGAUGCGCUGACGCUGAGACACGAAAGCCAGGGGAGCGAACGGG